UACAGAGGGUGCAAGCGUUAAUCGGAAUUACUGGGCGUAAGGCGCGCGUAGGUGGUUCGUUAAGUUGGAUGUGAAAUCCCCGGGCUCAACCUGGGAACUGCAUUCAAAACUGUCGAGCUAGAGUAUGGUAGAGGGUGGUGGAAUUUCCUGUGUAGCGGUGAAAUGCGUAGAUAUAGGAAGGAACACCAGUGGCGAAGGCGACCACCUGGACUGAUACUGACACUGAGGUGCGAAAGCGUGGGGAGCAAACAGG
rnacentral:rRNA from 1 species